GGAACAGUAGCCAAGUGGUUAAGGCAUCGGACUUUGACUCCGACAUUCGCAGGUUCGACCCCUGCCUGUUCUGCCA
rnacentral:tRNA from 1 species